rnacentral:rRNA from 1 species
UAAGGAAUAUUGCUCAAUGGGAGAAAUCCUGAAGCAGCAACGCCGCGUGGAGGAUGAAGGGUUUUUAACUUGUAAACUCCUGUAAAGAAGGAAAAAAUUCCCAUUAGAUGGGAAAUGAUGGUACUUCUGGAGUAAGCCCCGGCUAACUACGUGCCAGCAGCCGCGGUAAUACGUAGGGGGCAAGCGUUGUCCGGAUUUACUGGGUGUAAAGGGUGCUCAGGCGGAUUUGUAAGUCAGAGGUGAAAUCUCACAGCUUAACUGUGAAACUGCCUUUGAUACUGCAAGCCUGGAGUAUGGAAGAGAGUGAUGGAAUAUCUGGUGUAGCAGUGAAAUGCGUAGAUAUCAGAUAGAACACCAAUGGCGAAGGCAGUCACUUGGUCCAUAACUGACGCUAAAGCACGAAAGCGUGGGUAGCAAAACAGGAUUAGAUACCCUGGUAGUCCACGCCCUAAACGAUGAAUACUAGAUGUUGGCUUCGCAUGAAGUCAGUAUCUGAGCUAACGCAUUAAGUAUUCCACCUGGGAAGUACGAUCGCAAGGUUGAAACUUAAAUGAAUUGACGGGGUCAUAGCUGUUUCCUG